rnacentral:rRNA from 1 species
CAGCCGCCGCGGUAAUACAGAGGGUGCGAGUGUUGUCCGGAAUCACUGGGCGUAAAGGGCGCGUAGGCGGUGCGAUAAGCGUGCGGUGAAAGCCCGGGGCUCAACCCCGGGUCGGCCGUGCGGACUGUCGGACUGGAACACUGUAGAGGCAGGUGGAAUUCCGGGUGUAGCGGUGGAAUGCGUAGAGAUCCGGAAGAACACCGGUGGCGAAGGCGGCCUGCUGGGCAGUGGCUGACGCUGAGGCGCGACAGCGUGGGGAGCAAACAGGAUUAGAUACCCUGGUAGUCCACGCCGUAAACGAUGGGCACUAGGUGCUUGGGGGAGCGACCCUCCGAGUGCCGGCGCUAACGCAUUAAGUGCCCCGCCUGGGGAGUACGGCCGCAAGGCUGAAACUCAAAGGAAUUGACGG